AUUUUACUGCCAUAGUCUCCAUUGAUUAAUACAUACAUAGUUGGGAGACUAAUGAGAGAAAAUAUUGUCCAAGAGCAAAGGCAUAUCAAUAUCACAAAGCAUAGAUAAAAAUUGGAACACGAGUUGAAAUGAAGACCAUAUCUCUCUGCCUUUUGCUUUUUUAGUCCAAGAAUAAUUUUUUUAUCAUAGCACAUUCAUCAUCACAUGCCGUGUCUUUGUUGCGCUUAA